AUUGAACGCUGGCGGCAUGCCUAACACAUGCAAGUCGAGCGAGCGGCGGACGGGUGAGUAAUGUGUGGGAAACUGCCUGAUGGAGGGGGAUAACUACUGGAAACGGUAGCUAAUACCGCAUAUUGUCUGAUGGGCCCAGAUGGGAUUAGCUAGUAGGUGGGGUAACGGCUCACCUAGGCGACGAUCCCUAGCUGGUCUGAGAGGCUGACCAGCCACACGGGAACUGAGACACGGUCCGGACUCCUACGGGAGGCAGCAGUGGGGAAUAUUGCGCAAUGGGGGCAACCCUGACGCAGCCAUGCCGCGUGAAUGAAGAAGGCCUUCGGGUUGUAAAGUCCUUUCGGUGACGAGGCGUUAAUCACAGAAGAAGCACCGGCUAACUCCGUGCCAGCAGCCGCGGUAAUAC
rnacentral:rRNA from 1 species